AUUACGAUAUGAGUUUAAUUAUAAAAUAUAUUAUAAUAUUUAUGGAGUAUAUAUGUAAAUUAUAUAUAAUUAUUAAGAUUUUGUUUUAUCAAAAAAUUUGAGGAAAUCGAUUUAUUUUGAUAUUUACUCAAAUUUGUAAUCGACCAGGUGUAAUAGAUAUUAUAGUUUAGUAUGCCCAUAUAUGUACAUUAAUGCACAUAUCAAUGAGGUCUUUUCCUGCCCAUAAAAGGAAAUUAUUUGGUCUUCAUGACAUCUUUGCUAAUUUUGAGGAUAAAUUACAUAAUUUAGCAAUCUGUAAUGUGGCUAAUAUUCUCAAAACCUCUUGGUCUAAAAUAUUUGGAUAAGUUGAUGACAAAAUAGGAUGGAGAUGUUAGCGUUACCAAUAAUGGAGCAAUUUUGAAGAAAACGGAUAUAAAUGAAGUUUCAAAAUUGUCCAUUUGUCUUAAUCUCUCGGAUUGGAGAUCAUAUUAAUGGAGUAAUUAUAUUAACUGGUGCUUUGUUGAGAACAAGUUGAACAAUUAUAUAAAGCAAUAUAUACGAUAAGAAUAGCGGAUGGAUUUGAAAUGUAUGACUGAUCAUUUUAAAACAAUUAUGUACAAGUUACCAGAAAGCAUGGAAAAUUUAGAAUCGUACAUCAAGAUUACUAUGAUGUUACUGAGCUUUAAGAUAUAAUUAUUCAUUUUGUAACGACUUCUGUCUUGAAAAUUUUUAAUAUUUAAACAACCAUAGUCUAAACAAUAUAUCUUUAUUUUUAGUAUCAAUAAGUGCUAUAAACAAACGGCAGAAAUUGUAAUAAAUGUUGUAUUAACAAUUUAUGAUCAUAUUACAUAUGAUGUUAAUUUUGAAUUAAUAAGAAUAUAAGAAAGAGUUGAUACCUUGAGCUAUUCCCAGGGAAAUGGCCUAAGAGAGGAUUUAGAAAUUUCUGUCUGAUGUCAUAGAGGUUAGGGAAUAUCAUACUAGCAAUCUUAAUUUGCCUUUUUAUACUAUCAAAAUCGAAGACAAAAAAUAAGCUACAUGUCAUUUUGGACGAAAAUUAUAGAAUAUUAGGUAUACAAAUAUGAGAUAGAAAAAUUUAUUGAAAUGGUAAAAUUGCUCAAGGAAACUGAUACGACACUUGGCAGUAGGGAUUUGAUGGUGAAAUAAAUCAUUUUCUUUUGCAAGAUUUACCAGCAGUUAGACAGAUUGGUGGUCUAGAAAUAAAAAUUAUUGAAGAAAUUGAACGUGCAAUUCAGGAUGCAUUGUGCAUUGUACAUAACGUACUUAAUACUAAGGAUAAAAAGAUUUUGUAUGAUGGUGGCGCAACAGGAAUUUCAUAUACAUUGAUAUGUGCAGCAGAAGCCAAGAUGAUCAAUACUUCAGAGCAAUAUACAUUCCAUGCAUUUGUUUAAGCUUUGAAAGCUUUUCAAAUGGCAUUGGCCGAAAAUUCAGGUUUUCCUCUAGUAAAUGCUUUUGUUGGCACAAAGGCUCAACGACUAAUAGAAAAUAAUUCUGCUUUAGGAAUUGAUUAUUCAUAUCGUGAUAUUGCAGACAUGAAAGUGUAAAAUGUUAUUGAAACAUUAACAAGCAAAACUCAAAUUUUCUUGGUCAUUUAAUUAAAUAUUGAAAAUCGAUAACGCAUACUUACGUUCAUAAAAUAAUUCUACUGAUGCUACCUAAAGUAUAAUAUUUUUAACUUUUUCAGUAUUAUUUUAUCGGAAA